rfam:Lachnospiraceae bacterium M18-1 genomic scaffold acPFy-supercont1.2, whole genome shotgun sequence.
GGCAGGGGCUUGCGUUCAGGCUCUCGGUACGUUUGUGGUAUAGCGUCAGACCUGAUUCAAGGGAAUCAGGGAACCGUUACGGAUUCUGCGCACUGAGCGGAUCCACAACAACGCAAGUC